UCAAUCUCAAUAACGAAAACAUUUAGAAUGCAUGCACUCUAAUUAAAGUCUUUUAGUUCAUUUUCUCAGUUUUUCGCGCAUUUUCGAUUAUUCGGCGGCCGCCCAAGGCGUCGCGUGCGGCGCCGGUCGGCCGUUUACGCUUAUAACUUCAUCGUUGACUCCUAAUAUUUUCCUCCAUGAUAUAGGAUUUAAUCCCAAGAUUUUGGUUAAGCGCUUAACUCACUUUCACCAAUUACUUUCCUUCGAAUUAAUUAUUUCGGACUUGAGAUAUAUCAUUAAUUAUUGGCCAAAAGAUUUAAUUAGAAGGCCCAAGACUUAUUUCCCCACCUUAUACCUCCAAUUUAAAAGCCCCAAAUAAAACAAUAAUCUAAUUUAAAAUGAGACUUAGCCCAAUAGAUUGGCCCAAGAUUAAUUAAAAAGGUCCAAAUCAUUAAGUCCACAUCUUCCCCAUCCCCAUCGUAACUCCCUCUUCUCCAAAACUUCACAUUUGAGAAGUUCCUAAUUGGGGACAGAACCCAGCGGCGCCUCCGCCAACUUCCUUCCCGUCGCCGGCCGCUGCUCACCACCCAAUCAACGGCUCCAAAUCAGCCGAGGGACCCGACGCGUCGACGGUGCCGCAACUGCUUCUCGUCGUCGCUCGCUGUUCGCGGCCGCCGCUGCUGCUCUGUCACCGAUUCGUCCUCGGCGUCCUACCACCGUCGCUGUCAGUCGUCGCUGCUGGAGCGGAAGUAACCCAGCCGCCGGAGCAGUCACCCCCUGCUAUCGCAGAGAGGUCCAGCCGCCGGACAGACACCGCGCAGCCCCGAUCAACUCCGAACAGCCCCGAAACGUCCCGAAGCUAAGUUCUCGUACUCAAAUUAUGUUCUUUCCGCAUUCGAUUAACUACGGCGAUGUUCGAUUAGUUGAUUGUUGAUUUUCUUGUUUGGUUUUAUGUGAUGCGAAUGCUAUGAACGAAUGCUAACAGUUCAUGAUUCGAAAAAAGGGAAAAAAAAAUAUACCUUGCGACGUAAACUUGGGUGUUGAAACAAAAUGGACGCAAUUUCUUCCUCCUCCCCCUUCUCUCGGCUCUCUCUCGAAUUGAAGGUGGAGGAGGGAAGGUGAAGGAGUUGGAAACAUGGAGAGUCUCCAUGUGAGAGGACCGGCCGAGAAAGGAGGAAAAAGAAAGAAAGGAAAGGAAGAAAAGGAAGAAAAGUGUUGGGCUUGCUCCCACAUUUUUUUGAAAGAAUUAGGCUCAAAAUAAUUUAUUUUGUUGUAAAUCAUUCAAGCCCAACUUUAUUUAUUUGACAGCAUUUUUCUAUUUUCCAUGGCCCAAAGCCAUUUUGUAAAAUAACACAUUGGACUUUCUUUAUAUUUAUUUGGAUCGGCCCCAAGUUCUUAUC